rnacentral:rRNA from 1 species
AAUUGGAGGGCAAGUCUGGUGCCAGCAGCCGCGGUAAUUCCAGCUCCAAUAGCGUAUAUUAAAGUUGUUGCAGUUAAAAAGCUCGUAGUUGAAUUUCGGGAUCAAUAUUUCGGUCAUGCCGUUGGUAUGCACUGUUAUCAUUGAUUUCUCACCUUCUAAAGAACCGUAAUGCCAUUAAUUUGGUGUUACGGGGAAUUAGGACUGUUACCUUGAAAAAAUUAGAGUGUUUAAAGCAGGCUCACGCUUGAAUACAUUAGCAUGGAAUAAUGAAAUAGGACAUCCGAUUCUAUUUUGUUGGUUUCUAGGAUCGAUGUAAUGAUUAAUAGGGAUAGUUGGGGGCAUUAGUAUUCAAUUGUCAGAGGUGAAAUUCUUGGAUUUAUUGAAGACUAACUACUGCGAAAGCAUUUGCCAAGGAUGUUUUCAUUAAUCAAGAACGAAAGUUAGGGGAUCGAAGACGAUCAGAUACCGUCGUAGUCUUAACCAUAAACUAUGCCGACUAGGGAUCGGAUGGUGUUAAUUUUUUAAUGACUCAUUCGGCGCCUUACGGGAAACCAAAGUGU